CACGUAGGGGGCGAGCGUUGUCCGGAAUUACUGGGCGUAAAGGGUGCGUAGGCGGUCUGUUAAGUCAGAUGUGAAAGACCUGGGCUCAACCAGGGAUGUGCAUCUGAGACUGGCGGACUUGAGUGCAGGAGAGGGAAGUGGAAUUUCUAGUGUAGCGGUGGAAUGCGUAGAUAUUAGGAAGAACACCAGUGGCGAAGGCGGCUUCCUGGACUGUAACUGACGCUGAGGCACGAAAGCGUGGGGAGCGAACAGGAUUAGAUA
rnacentral:rRNA from 1 species